CCACGAAGCUUGGCCAACUCCUGGUCCUUGCCUUCCUUUUCCGUCAGGGCAUGAGCCAGUGCCUCUUGCAGGGUAGCAAACUCCACACGCUGCUCGUUGAGGGCGUUCUGCAGCCGCAUCUCAAGCUCUGCUCUGGCCGCCUUCUCCAGGGCAAGGUCAGCCUGGGCACGGCCCCGCUCCUGGGUCAGCCGCGCCACCUCCCUUUCCUGCUGCCCACGCUCCUCCUGCUGCUGCCCCUGGCUCUCCAUCAGCGCAGCCCGCAGCCGCUCCAGCUCAUUGCCCAUCUGCUCUGCCUCCCGCUCCAUAGCCUGCAGCGCUGCCUGUGUGCUGCAGAACUGGCGUCCCUGUUGCUCUUCCAGCCACUCGGGCUGUCCGUCUCCUGCCCUCGCAGGCUCCUUGACUAACUCCCGGGAGGCUGUUUCCUGCUGCUCACCUGCCUUGCGCACCAAGGUCUCCAAGCGGGCCACCUCUUUGCUGGUGGCAGCCAUCUUUUCCUGCAGAGUGGAGAGGUCGUCUGCAAGCUUCUGGGCCCUGACUUCCUUCUCUUGGACCUGCUGGAGUGCUCUGGCCAGGUUGGCAUGGAGCUCAGCUAGUUCAUUCUGCUGCCGGCUUAUCUGGAGUUCGCUGUGGGAUUCUAUGCCUGCCACCUUCUCCUUUGCCUCCUGCAGCUCCUGGCGGGCCUUCUCACAUUCCUCCUUCAAAGUCAUCAGCUGUUCCUGGAACAUGGCGCCGUACUGUGCCUCCUCUUGCUGGCUAUCCUCAUACCGCUCACGCCAGGCAGCUACUUCUUUGACGAGCUGCUCACACUCACUCUCAGCUGUGCGCUGGGCAGCUAUGGCCUCUGCCAGCUCCUGCCGCAGGACUUCAGUCUCAGCCUGAUGGGCCUCCCCAAGCUGCUGUAAUCGAGCCUCCAGCCCCUUGCGCCCAGCCCUCUCUUCUUCCAGCUCCUUUUGUUCCCGCUUAUGCUGCUCCACCAGGCUUCGGGUCUCUGCCUUCAGCUCAGAGAUACAACGCUGCUGCUCUUCCAGGGCAUCUGCAGCCCUGCGCUUCUCCUCUUCAAGGCUGCCCUUGGUGACCUUCAAGGACUCUUUGAGGGCCCGGAGCUGCUCCUGGAGCUGGUCCUUCUCCUGGGCCACCCUUUCUUUCUCAGUUGCUUUUUGCUGCUCAGACCGCAGCUGGAACUCUAGCUCUGCAACCUGGGCCUGGGCCUCAUGCUGUUCCUGGCGGGCUGUCUCAACACAGGCCCGGAGUUCCUCCACCUUCUGGCUCAGCUCUGCCUUCUCCCGCUGGGCCUGUGUCACUGAGGUCUGGGCACUGUCCCGGGCUUCAUUAGCCGCCUGAAGUUGCUGCUGCAGAGUCUCCAGCUUGGCAGCCUUCUCCUUCUCCAGUGCCUCCAGCUGCUUGAGAGCCGCAUCCCGCUCCCUUAAGGAGGCCUCUCGCUCCUCUGCAGCAGUGGCCAGUUGCUGGGCAUGGUCCCGCCUAGUUGCCUCCUGCUUCUCCACUACCUCCUUCAACUGCUGCUCCUUCUGCUUCAGGCUACUGCUUAGCUGCUCCACCUGGUGGCGGAGGCCCUGGGAGGCCUGUUCUUGCUGUUGGAGGGUCUGUGCUAGCUGGGCCUGCUUCUCUUUGGCCUGCUGCUUCAGGCCAGCCAGUUCUUGAUCCUGUUGCUGGAUGGUGGCAUUGAGUGUGGUGAGCUCACAGGUCAGAGAGGCCACCUGGGCAGUCAACCGGACCCCAUGAGCCUGGGAGGCCUGCUCCAGCUCUUCCUUGGCCUGGCUGAGGUUGGAGAUGGAGCUCUGCAGGUCGGUGAUCAGGCUAGACAGCUGCUGCUUUUCUUCUUCAAAGUGGUCCCGCUCAGCAAGCAGCCUGGCUUCCUGCUGGCCUCGCUCAGUCUCCAGCGUCUCUACCCUGGCUUGGAGCUGUGUGUUGUUUGCAGCAAGAGUGGCUGCCUCUUGCUUCAAGGUUUCCAGCUGGUGGUAUAAAGAGACAAAUUGGGAUCAGCAUGACUCCUCAGUCACCAAGCGUCCUCUGGAAAUGGAGGAACACCAGGAACCCAAAUGUACUGAAUGUGAGUCCACACCAACCCCCAGCACACAGGUCUUCCUGUGCAUUCCUACCUGCAAGACAUCACCCAGCACCUCACCCUUCUCCUGGGGUGGGUUCUCCCGCAGCUGGGACAAGUGUUCUUCCAGCUGUGAAAGUUUUCCUUGAAGGAUUUCGUUCUUCUCUUCAAGGCAUUUCUGGGAGUAAAUGAGACCCAUGUGAACAGAGAGGGGGAACAGGCACCAGAUUACCACACAAGCCCUCGUAAACAUCAACAAACAUGGGGCCCAUCAUCUUGUUACCAAGAUCUCCUUUUGCCCUGGCCUAGAAAAAAGCAGAAACCAUGGAACUGGGAGCAUGAGGGACCUGACUCUCUAGACCUAGUUCUAAGGCGGAAUAAAGUCAUAAUGUAACCUGCUUACUACUUCCCUAAGGCUGCUGAGUUUACUUCAAAUUUCCUUAUCGUAUACCCUUCCUCAGAUAAGUCUUGAGUCCUAGAUUAUCCAAAUCACCACCAGCUGCCCACCAUCCUCUGGGCAGCAAUACCACUGGCAGCAGCUACUCGUUACUACUCCCAUUUUAGGGAAAGGAUGCUUAGAAAAACAGACUGAUUAACUUGUCCAAGAUCCACAUCUUGUAAACAGCAGAGACAGGAUUGAAAGGUGUACUAUAAAGUGAGGGCAUUGACUGGGGAAAAAAAAAAUAAGUUAAAAAAAAAAAAGGUGUACUAGACUGAAGCCCACAAUCUUUCAAUUACAGCACACUAUUGAACCUUGAAGAGAAAGCAACUUAAUACCCAAAGGCCCAGAAGAGCACAGUGGUAAACUGGACUCAGCUUUGCACAUGUGGUCAAGACUGUGGCUGUGACCCCAGCAGAGGGUUACCUUGUCCUGCAGGGCUGCGCUGAGCUCCUUCUCCAGCUGGGCCUGCUUCUCUAGCCACUCCUGAGUGGCCUUGCUGUGCUCCUCCGUCAGCUCAUUGAGGGCAUCCUGUAGCUGCUGCAGAUGACUGGCAAACUCCCGCAGCUGAGACGGGCAAGUGAGAAUCCCCAUCACCCAGAGUCAACGCUGACCCCACCACUGCUGUCUGCUCCCAGAACCCCAGGGGCUGGAUGCCUCCAAUUAUCCUGCCAACCCUCUACAAACCAAUCACAGCCAUCACACCUCUAAUUCAGAACUACAAAUCAAAAUUUAGGGUCACAACCCAGUACCCGGGAAGCAGCCAAUUAUGGGACAAGGAAAGGGGCAAAAUAUGCAGGUCUCUGGAGAGACUGAAGCAUAAGACAGGUGCUGGGACAUUCUUCUCAACCCUCUCUUGGGGAGCCUUCCAGACCACCUCAGCCCUGAGGGGCCUCCAUGCACACGCCACCUUAACACCAACCUUAAAGGAAAGGUCUCCAUUCUCCUCCGAAAGCUGGUUGAUCUUGCGAUCCAUCUGGCUCUUCUCUGUCUUCAGGUCCUGGCACUGCUUCAGGGUUUCAUGCAGCCGCAUGCAAGCUGCUUCUUCAGCCGUCUCAUCUGGAACUGUGGGGUCUGCAGGAUAUCACCCAUGGGAGAAGCUGGAGAACCUGAGAGAAAGCUGAGGAGGGAGAAGGCCCAUAUGCAUUGGUCUCAUGAGGAACCUGAAUACAAGGAACAUCAAACUCAACGGCUAGAACUCGCCUAGACCUCCUUCUUACAUUCCUAUCAUCCACCAGCUGACCUCUUCAUCAGAAGACCAGCAGAAUGAUCACUCUUUCUACUGUAGUACCAGCCGAGACCGUUGAUAUAUUCCGUACUUAGAUUACUUAUCAUUAUUUCCUGGUUUAUGUAUCUGCCUUUCCACCUAGAACAUGCACUACAUGACAGGAAAAACAUUUUUUAAAAGACUGUGGGCCGGGCGCAGUGGCUCAUGCCUGUAUUCCUAACACUUUGGGAGGCCGAGGCGGGUGGAUCACCUGAUGUCAGGAGUUCGAGACCAGCCUAAUCAACAUGGUGAAACCCCGUCUCUACAGAGAAUACAAAAAUUAGGCAGGUGUGGUGGCGUGCACCUGUAAUCCCAGCUACUCGGAAGGCUGAGCAGGAGAAUUGCCUGAACACGGGAAGUGGAGAUUGCAGUGAGCUGAGAUCGCACCACUACACUCCAGCCUGGGCGACAGAGACUCUGUCUCAAAAAAAUAUAUAUAUAAAUAUAAAUAAAAAGACUGUAUUCUC
rnacentral:antisense_RNA from 1 species